UACGUAGGGACCAAGCGUUGUCCGGAAUCAUUGGGCGUAAAGAGCGUGUAGGCGGCUUGUUAAGUCUUGCGUGAAAUCUCGGGGCUCAACCCCGAGCGGUCGUGAGAAACUGGCAGGCUAGAGUGCGGGAGAGGAGAGUGGAAUUCCUGGUGUAGCGGUGAGAUGCGCAGAUAUCAGGAAGAACACCCGUGGCGAAGGCGGCUCUCUAGUACGGUACUGACGCUGAGACGCGAAAGCGUGGGGGAGCGAACAGG
rnacentral:rRNA from 1 species